UUUUUGCAACACAUUGGUACGUGAGUAUUGGUCCUGCUCGUCAAGUGUUUGAUGAAAUAUUUCAUAGAUAUUUGGUUUCUGUUAGUUUAAAACUCAUCAAUCUCAUUUGAAAGUUUUCUUAAUAGUGGCAUUAUGUACAUGGAUUGAUAUGAUAGUGGACUAUGCCUGCAACGAUCUUUCAUAAAAUAUCAAACCAAACUAAGCAGAGGGUGUGGAUCAAAAUUACUAAUAAAUUACUGUUUUGUAUCAAUAUAUUCCCCUCCCAUUUCCUCUUUUAGCCAAGUCUUCACCCAAGUCCAUGAGUUCAUUCACUUGAAAUAUCAGGUUUGAUUUCCUCUUCUGGAAAAAAUAUCUCUUCGUUCUCACUCGGAUAAGGAAGCUUUAAAUAUCAGUGUUCAUCUAGGAGGGAUACUCACUAAAGGAAAUGACAAAGGAUUCAUAGAAGUGCAAUCAAGUUUAUAUAAUGUUGUGCUUGAAGAUGAUACUUACAAGGGAGAGAUCAAAAUUGACUUUAAAUUCACAACAAAUGUAGAAGUGCAAAAGGAAACAAAAGUAUGUACUGAGCUGGACAAGCAAAAACCAGAGUCAAUAUUUGGAACACUCUUCAGUUUUUGGAGAAUUCCUUAGUUGAAAUUUUGAGUGCAUAUACAUGUUAAGGACUAGUUGCUAAUUUUCAUUUUACUAUCAAGCUUUUGCAGCUUUUCUCAAACUUCCAUUUAUAUCUUUUGCAGCCAUUUCUUCCUUAUAGAAGAAUGUAUUCUACUGCUCUUGAUAAAUCUGAUUGGAUGAAAGGGGUGUAACUGGUUACAAUUUAGUAAGUUUGGUUGGAUUAGUAGUUUUAA